rnacentral:misc_RNA from 1 species
UACGGAGGGUGCAAGCGUUGUCCGGAUUUAUUGGGUUUAAAGGGUGCGUAGGCGGGUCAGUAAGUCAGUGGUGAAAUCCUGCGGCUCAACCGUAGAACUGCCAUUGAUACUGUUGACCUUGAGUGCAACUGAGGUGGCUGGAAUGAGUGGUGUAGCGGUGAAAUGCAUAGAGAUCACUCAGAACACCAAUUGCGAAGGCAGGUCACUAAGUUGUAACUGACGCUGAGGUACGAAAGCGUGGGGAGCGAACAGG